rnacentral:rRNA from 1 species
GACGGCCUUCGGGUUGUAAACCUCUUUUAGUAGGGAAGAAGCGAAAGUGACGGUACCUGCAGAAAAAGCACCGGCUAACUACGUGCCAGCAGCCGCGGUAAUACGUAGGGUGCAAGCGUUGUCCGGAAUUAUUGGGCGUAAAGAGCUCGUAGGCGGUUUGUCGCGUCUGCUGUGAAAUCUGGGGGCUCAACCCCCAGCCUGCAGUGGGUACGGGCAGACUAGAGUGCGGUAGGGGAGAUUGGAAUUCCUGGUGUAGCGGUGGAAUGCGCAGAUAUCAGGAGGAACACCGAUGGCGAAGGCAGAUCUCUGGGCCGUAACUGACGCUGAGGAGCGAAAGCAUGGGGAGCGAACAGGAUUAGAUACCCUGGUAGUCCAUGCCGUAAACGUUGGGAACUAGAUGUGGGGACCAUUCCACGGUCUCCGUGUCGCAGCUAACGCAUUAAGUUCCCCGCCUGGGGAGUACGGCCGCAAGGCUAAAACUCAAAGGAAUUGACGGGGGCCCGCACAAGCGGCGGAGCAUGCGGAUUAAUUCGAUGCAACGCGAAGAACCUUACCAAGGCUUGACAUAUACCGGAAACGGCCAGAGAUGGUCGCCCCGCAAGGUCGGUAUACAGGUGGUGCAUGGUUGUCGUCAGCUCGUGUCGUGAGAUGUUGGGUUAAGUCCCGCAACGAGCGCAACCCUCGUUCUAUGUUGCCAGCACGUUAUGGUGGGAACUCAUAGGAGACUGCCGGGGUCAACUCGGAGGAAGGUGGGGAUGACGUCAAAUCAUCAUGCCCCUUAUGUCUUGGGCUUCACGCAUGCUACAAUGGCCGGUACAAAGGGCUGCGAUACCGUAAGGUGGAGCGAAUCCCAAAAAGCCGGUCUCAGUUCGGAUUGAGGUCUGCAACUCGACCUCAUGAAGUCGGAGUCGCUAGUAAUCGCAGAUCAGCAACGCUGCGGUGAAUACGUUCCCGGGCCUUGUACACACCGCCCGUCAAGUCAUGAAAGUCGGUAACACCCGAAGCCAGUGGCCUAACCCCUUGUGGGAUGGAGCUGUCGAAGGUGGGAUCGGUGAUUAGGACUAAGUCGUAACAAGGUAGCCGUACCGGAAGGUGCGGCUGGAUCACCUCCUUU